GACGAACGCUGGCGGCGUGCUUAACACAUGCAAGUCGAACGAAGCGGCGGACGGGUGAGUAACGCGUAGUCAACCUGCACUUCAAGGGGGGACAACAGUUGGAAACGACUGCUAAUACCGCAUACUGACGGGGGAGAUGGAGUCUGAUUAGCUAGUUGGAGGGGGAAGGGCCAACCAAGGCGAUGAGCAGUAGCCGGUCUGAGAGGAUGAACGGCCCAAUUGGGACUGAGACACGGCCCAGACUCCUACGGGAGGCAGCAGUGGGGAAUCUUCCGCAAUGGACGAAAGUCUGACGGAGCAACGCCGGGGGAGUGAUGACGGCCUUCGGGUUGUAAAGCUCUGUUAAUCGGGACGCGGUACCGGAAUAGAAAGCCACGGCUAACUACGUGCCAGCAGCCGCGGUAAUAC
rnacentral:rRNA from 1 species